CUAUAUAUGUGAGGGGUUGUGUGUGUGGGUGUUGUACAUGUUUGAGGGGUGCUCUGUGUGUAUGUGAGGGGUACUCUGUGUGUGUGAUGGCUGCUCUGUGUGUGAGGGGUGCUCUGAGCGUAUAUGAGGGGUGCAAUGUGUGUUUGUGUGUGUGUGUGUGUGUGUGAGGGGGGUGCUUAGCAAUAUAAUUUUUAUAAUAUGGUUAAUUUGCUAAACAGUUUAAUCAUUAAUUAUACCUUUACUUGGAAAGUG